UAGUCCACGCCGUAAACGAUGGACACUAGUUGUUGGGGUUUACCUCAGUGACUAAGCGAAAGUGAUAAGUGUCCCACCUGGGGAGUACGAUCGCAAGAUUGAAACUCAAAGGAAUUGACGGGGGCCCGCACAAGCGGUGGAGCAUGUGGUUUAAUUCGAUGAUACGCGAGGAACCUUACCAGGGCUUAAAUGUAGUAUGACAGGACUAGAGAUAGUUUUUCUCGGACAUAUUACAAGGUGCUGCAUGGUUGUCGUCAGCUCGUGCCGUGAGGUGUCAGGUUAAGUCCUAUAACGAGCGCAACCCUUGUCGUUAGUUGCCAGCAUGUAAAGAUGGGGACUCUAACGAGACUGCCGGUGCAAACCGUGAGGAAGGUGGGGAUGACGUCAAAUCAUCACGGCCCUUACGUCCUGGGGCCACACACGUGCUACAAUGGGUAGGUACAGAGAGCAGCCACGUCGCGAGGCGGAGCGAAUCUAUAAAACCU
rnacentral:rRNA from 1 species